GUGGGUAGAGCUCAGUGGUAGAGCGCAUGCUUAGCAUGCAGACAGUCCUGGAUUCAAUCCCCAGUACCGCCA
rnacentral:tRNA from 1 species